CAGCCGCCGCGGUAAUACAGAGGAUGCAAGCGUUAUCCGGAAUGAUUGGGCGUAAAGCGUCUGUAGGUGGCUUUUCAAGUCCGCCGUCAAAUCCCGGGGCUCAACCGUGGACAGGCGGUGGAAACUACCAAGCUGGAGUACGGUAGGGGCAGAGGGAAUUUCCGAUGGAGCGGUGAAAUGCGUUGAGAUCGGAAAGAACACCAACGGAGAAAGCACUCUGCUGGGCCGACACUGACACUGAGAGACGAAAUCUAGGGGAGCAAAUGGGAUUAGAUACCCCCGUAGUCCCUGUCUCUUAUAA
rnacentral:rRNA from 1 species